rnacentral:lncRNA from 1 species
UCUUUACCUUCAGUUAGCAUUCACUCACUAGUAGUUGAAAGAAGCUGGAAGGAAUAAUGGCAUGCGACAUGUGAGAAUUCAGACUAGGCCCUGUAUUUACUCCUCAUGGCUCCUUAGGUAGGUUUAUGCAGAACAGAAGGGACACCCAAGAUUUGAAUCCCAGACAAGAAGAAGAAGUAUGGGCCCCAGCAUGACUAGAGGUGCUUUAUUUGUGCAGAACUCAGAAAUGGAAUUUCUGAUGGAGACAGUAGUGAACAGAGAACAGCUUAUUGAAUUUGUGUGCAUGCAGCACAGAGCUGAAGGAGACUGCCAGAGAAGGGAGGUUCUGAAUUUAUUGUGA